GUUUCCAUUUUCUCUUGCAGUCUCCAUCUCCAACCGAAUUUGUUCUUCCAGCUUGUUCACCAUUCUCAUGAGAAGUCUCACCGUUUCGGCUUCUUCUGUGUCGCAGCUGCCGUCUUGAACAACGUUUACCAUGUAGAUCGUGUUAUGACUUGGUGUCCUUUAGACGUUGCUCAUGCAGCGGAAGCGAAAUGCAGAGAGCCUGAGAAAGUAGACCAUGCCGUAUAUCGAUCGACUUUUCUUUGUAGAAUUGGGUGUGAGAGUGACGCAUGGUUUGGAAUCUGGUUGACUUGCAUUUGGACCACCUGACUACUAUGCCUAAAGUGUAAUGACGUUUGCUACACGAUACUGCGGAAAACAUUGGCCUGGAGAAGAGAAUCAAGAGUUGUGCUGAAUCGGAUGCUUUGUUAACGCCAGCGAUCAAGAUGGGUGAUACCUCAGGCUAUUUCAGUAUGCCUUAUACUGCAGAAUAUGAGGCGGAAGUUGCAAUUAGUGUUGACGAUUUCAUGCGCCCUUCAAACGUUGGAUUGAGCUACAGCAAACAGAGUGUGCUGAACAGAGGAAGGAAAGGUGGCAGGUCUGCUAAUUUACCGAAUAAAGGUCAUGAUCAGCAGUCUUUCUAUCAUCUGCAACACCGAUAUACCAAAAUGUUUUCCUGGCCCAUCAUAGCCAUAAUGAUUGGAAUCCUCUUCGUUUUAGUAAUGUUCCGAGGGUUUGCACUGCCACGUAUGGCGACCGGGACAAAGGCUUCGGAUCAAAAUUUCGAAGAGCUUGACGGACUUAGCUCUACUGAGAGCAGAUUAGAUGAAAAAUUCAAUGCAAGAAUUCCCCGGGUGAUCAUAAAAAAGAACCAUGAAAGAACCGAAAAUAUAGGCAUGGUGUUCCGACAAAAGGUUUUUGACACGCUACAAGGAUUCCUCUUGCAGGUUAGUCGACAUAGUCACUUGAGAGACGAUGGAAGCGGAGACGCAAAAGGGAAAUCAGAGGACACUGUAUCCAGCGUCCACAAGCAGCACGAAGUGUAUCAUAACUUUCAUCAUUUCAUAAAAACAUAUGCAGAAAUGCAGAAGACCUUCAAGGUAUAUGUAUAUAAGGAUGGAUACAAGCCACUUGUGCAUGCAGCUAAAACAGGAGGAAUUUACGCAACAGAGGGCCUCUUUCUCAAGCGUAUGGACGAUCCUGGCAACAGAUACACAGUGUCUGAUCCAACGCAAGCGCACAUGUUCCUGCUUCCGUACAGUGUCCGCCAGUUAGUGGACUUCAUUCAAGACCCAUACUCACGGAGUAUGCGGCCUCUAAAGACUUUUAUUGCGAAUUAUGUUGAAAGGAUCACAUCUAAGUACCCAUACUGGAACCGGACACGUGGUGCCGACCACUUUUUCGUAUCUUGUCACGACUGGGCACCACUGUCGACCAUACUUCAUGAUGAGCUUCACAAUAACUCUAUGAAAGUGGUUUGUAAUGCUGAUCUCACAGCAAAUUUUGAUAUUCAGAAAGAUGUUUCUAUUCCGCAGGCAGUUAAGGGUGGAAAUCAAUCAGAAUUAGAUAUUGAUAAUUUACCUCCAGGCAAGAGGGAUUAUUUAGCGUUCUACGCCGGCCAAAUGCACGGCCUUGUGAGACCGGUGUUAAUACAACACUGGAGAGGUAAAGAUUCGAGCAUGAAAGUUUACGAAGUCCUACCUCCCGAAAUUGCUAAAAACAUCUCAUAUGCUCAACAUAUGAAACGAAGCAAAUUUUGCUUGUGUCCUAAAGGCUUUGAGGUUAACAGUCCGAGGAUUGUGGAGGCCAUCUUGAGUGGCUGUGUCCCAGUUAUUAUAGCUGACAACUUCGUUCUCCCCUUCAGCAAUGUGCUGGAUUGGUCGAAGUUUUCCAUCACUGUGGAGGAGAAGGACAUCCCUAAUUUGAAAAGGAUCUUGACCAAUGUACCAGAUGGUACUUAUCGCUCCAUGCAGAGCUGUCUGAAGUACAUCAGAAGGCAUUUUGUUUGGCUUGAAGAUCAGGAGGAUACCCAAUAUGAUUCAUUUCACAUGACCAUGUAUUCUAUUUGGAGGCAGAGCUUGAACUUGAAGAAUAAAUUGGAAGUCUUCCAGGGUCACAUUUUGCCCACUGAGAAUUAGGUUGUGCUCUAUGUCAUAAACGGAGUGCUCAGGAUCUUGCCAAGGCAAUCUUCAAUUUGUGAGCUCAAAUUACUCGUGCUGAAUGCACCUAUUCAGUCCAACUCAAAACCUUUCAAUGAGCAAGGAGCAGGCUUCCAAAUUGCAAGACUUGAAGAAAUGUUGAAGCAAUACAGUGUGAAGGCGCAAAACUUAGAGGCAUGUACAAGAUGCAUGUGCUCGUCCUAUUUUCUUCUCAAAACAGAGAUUUGAAAUAACCAUCUCAACAUUCCUCUCAAUGAUAUGAUCAGCUUUGCAUACUUUUCUAACAAUCCAAACACAACAAACUAUAUCAAUAUAGUCUAAUUCUAUCUUUAUUUAAUGUAAUUUAGAUAAUUUGAGUAUUCUUUUAUUUUCUCACAUAUUUGGUAUUUUGUAAGGUAGAUGUGUACCAGCCAUUUCAAAUAUGCAAACAUAUUUGUAAGAAGGUAUCAAAUGCGUUAUACAUCUUUCUUUU